CAUGCCGCGUGUAUGAAGAAGGCCUUCGGGUUGUAAAGUACUUUCAGCGGGGAGGAAGGGAGUAAAGUUAAUACCUUUACUCAUUGACGUUACCCGCAGAAGAAGCACCGGCUAACUCCGUGCCAGCAGCCGCGGUAAUACGGGGGGUGCAAGCGUUAAUCGGAAUUACUGGGCGUAAAGCGCACGCAGGCGGUUUGUUAAGUCAGAUGUGAAAUCCCCGGGCUCAACCUGGGAACUGCAUCUGAUACUGGCAAGCUUGAGUCUCGUAGAGGGGGGUAGAAUUCCAGGUGUAGCGGUGAAAUGCGUAGAGAUCUGGAGGAAUACCGGUGGCGAAGGCGGCCCCCUGGACGAAGACUGACGCUCAGGUGCGAAAGCGUGGGGAGCAAACAGGAUUAGAUACCCUGGUAGUCCACGCCGUAAACGAUGUCGACUUGGAGGUUGUGCCCUUGAGGCGUGGCUUCCGGAGCUAACGCGUUAAGUCGACCGCCUGGGGAGUACGGCCGCAAGGUUAAAACUCAAAUGAAUUGACGGGGGCCCGCACAAGCGGUGGAGCAUGUGGUUUAAUUCGAUGCAACGCGAAGAACC
rnacentral:rRNA from 1 species